GGAGGUCUUACGGACUUGGAACGACAUGAGGGGGAUCAGAAAGCUCUUGGAUUUCAUCGAAAUAUCUUAAUUUGUCUUCCGAAGAUGAACGAAUGUCUUACUGGUUCGGAAUGACAUGAGGCUCCGGCAUCUCCAUAUUAUUCCAGUUCCUGGAUUCCAACCCACAAAAGACCUUGAAAUGUAUCCUUUGGAGUGAAGCCACCCACCAUGCAACAUGUUUUGGAAACCAUUGAAUCAACUUAGUUUCUCCUUCAAAUCUGACAAGCAUUGGUUAGGAAAAUGGAUUCAGCAAAUUUGCACCCUCAUUGUUCUACUAACUUCCAGUCUGACACAGUGUGCAAAGUCCUUCCCAGUGUGUUGUUGUUUAUACUGUCAGAGCCGAGGAAUCUGGAAGCAUUUGGUGGGUUCGCUCGCUGGGAACUAUCAGACGAUUUCUUUUUAAACUAUUUUGAUAUCAGCUCUGUGGAGAGUUGAUUUGCACUUGAGAAACAAGACCUUCUGGGCCCUAAGGCCUGGCUGCGCUGCAAGAAUAAACACAACAACAGGAUGAAACCACAGCCGGACGGGGACUUUCAAGAGCGGGAACGCGUCCCACAGCUGUUGCGUAGUUUCAUCAUCCAUCACUGUGGGUGUUACGUACAAGACUGGUGGAUCGGGAUGGCACUGCGUUUGUGGUGAUAUCUUGGUUUCAAUUAUCCAAGCCAUUAAGGUCAUGGCAAUCGGGAUAUUGGAAGCGCCUCUGGCCUACGACAAUUACGACUGCUUAACGUCGUACUACGCCACACGCUCAGACACGUAACGGUCCUAAAACGAGCAUGUCUGUUCCUUGUGACCUAUUACCCAAAUGUGUUUAUUCUGGGAGCCGCCAUUACCCUGGCCACGAUCCCACUUUGGAGCUAAUGGCUGAAAUUCCCCGCAUAAGUUUUUGUGAAAUAAUUGAUCACAUGUGAGUGUGCCGGUCCGUGUUUCCUCCAUUUUGAAGGUGAUAUCAUGCGGUCAGAGUUUUCCUGUGAUACUGUGAUUGCUUCCUUGGCCGUGGCCAGGGCAUUGAGAUGGCGGCAUUACGCCACGGCACUGGAGCGCUCUUAUCAAAGUGUGCCGUUAUCACUAGUACAAACUGCCCUGGACUGUGGCCAUAUGGACUCAGCAAGUGUGCAGUGUCUGCCAUCAACAUUACGUGGCAGGGAAAUUUGACUACAAUUAGCUUGGAGGCCUUUAAGAUGUUUUCAAGACAAAAAUCAAGGGGGAAAAUUUCGAAUAGGGAUGUCCAGCUGUUGCUCUCGUGCACGUGUUGGCUCUAUCAAAUGAACACAGUGUUGCUUCAUACAAGUACACUUUCCUCCGAGCCAAAGAAAUCAUAAUUUGAUAAAUAUAUGGAGACUUCAAAGGAUUUGCUUCAGAAGGAAUCACUUCUUUGGUCGAACCUGCAAGUCAAGUUUCUGGCUGAGUUUCUUACGCAGUCCCACUAUAUUCACUCAGUACUCCGUCCAAACAGUUGUUUAAAUUAGAUUUUUUCGUCCAUCUUCAUUUGUUCAUCUUGUUUUGUAUACAUCUAGUAAAAACCACGGAGUACUACAGCACAAUCUUGAAUCCUCUCCAACACUGAGUGAAGGACCUUCUGCAUUAAUCUAACUGCUUUAUUUUUCGUAUUUUGACAAAUUUGUGUUUCCAGGAAGUGGCUGAGGUCAGCGCAGCAUCUGUUGCUACUUAUGUCCAAGAUGCAUGCGUUGCUUUGUGUUGGUUGCCAGGGAAACCAUGUCUGCACAAUCACCUCUGAAUGGUCACAUCUUCAAAAACCUCACGAGACCGUCAAGCUGGAUGAUUGUGACCAAACAGCAGUACUAAGGGUAUGUUA